UUCACUCAUUCAAGCCUUCAUAAUCCAUCCGCUGAAAAAAAUAAACUGGAAUGCUGUCUUAAAUUUGUGUCGUAAAGCACUUUUAAGGUAUUAAUAUUAUCAAUAAUAUUAAUUAAUUCAUAGUAACAUUUUCAUUAAUGUAUUUUAUCAUGAUACGCAAAUAAAAUAAAUAAAACAUAUAUUGUUUAUGUUAUUUAAUAAUAUAUAACAUAAUAAUUCAACAUCAGUCAAUUAAUAUCAUUAUUAAUUAAAUGUUCUAAUUAACAUUGAUGGUUUGUAACUGUAUUAUAUUCUAAUACAUUCAUAAAAAUAUAUAUAAAUAAUGGAUGCAGCAAAGUAUGGUCUUCCGGAGUCUGUGUCAAGUGCACAGAUUAUCAGCCAUGUCAUUGGACAAAUCACCUCGGAUACAGAUGACAGACAACACAGGAGAACUCUGAUUGGACAGUUGUGUGUGCAUUAUUUUUGGCCUUCAUAUAAAACCACUGAUCCGGCUCUGCUCGAUACCCUUUGACCUCAUCGUAGAUUAAAGGGUUCCUGUGCUGAGAGUGACCGCUGAUAGCUGAGAGUGAUCCAUUGCCCUCAACCUUCACAGAGCAGUAUCACCACAUCACCUACACACACACAAUCACCACAUCUUCAUCCUUUUUCUCAAAUUUCAUUCUAUAUAUAAGAUUAUAUUAGGUUGUCUUAGAUUAGUUUAGUUUACAUUAGGUGGUUUAGGUUUAGGUCAGUUUGACAAGUAUUUCUCUUGUUGUUUCUCUUGUCUUGAACUUCUGUCAGCAGGAUGCCAAGGAAGUCGAGGCGGUCUGUGGUGUUGAAGCAGCGCUGGAAGAAGCUCAACCUGGAAGAGCUGAGGUCUGAGACAGGUCAGAGACAGCCCUGGAAAGUAUGCCUCAUGCAUCUUUCCAGAGCUGUAGACCAUUGUUAACGUUUUUGAAAUCUAUACAACAAACGCCAAAGGGUUUGACAAUUGUCCACCACAACACGCAGGGUCUGCCAUGUCACAUGGUGGACCUGAAAGCACAUCACGAGCUCCAACAAACAGAUGUGCUUUGCCUUACAGAGACACAUUUGUCAGGGUCCUCUGUAGCUGAAAUUUUUCAAUUGGAGGGGUACACCAUGUUCACACGUAGCAGACGGCUGUCCUACAACAGCUGUGUGAACAUGGCCAAAAAAGAGGGAGGUGGAGUUGCGAUGUACUGUAGAGACACUGUGCAAGCAGAGCCUCGCAGGUACAUGCAACAGGUCACUGAUUUGGAGUUUGUUGUCCUUAAAAUUGAAGCUCCAGUCAAAGUGCUAAUAGCGACUGUGUACAAACCGCCAAGUUUUCAACUGGGAAUCUUUCUCCAAAACUUGAAAAACCUCUUGGACUCAUUGGACAUGUUAAAUCACAAGCCCAUCAUUGUUUGUGGCGAUUUUAAUGAGGACCACCUUUCAAAGGGGAAAAAAAGUAUCAAAGAUUUGUUUCAGUCCAGAGGUUACACUCAAUUAGUAGCAAAUUCGACAACCGAAAAGAACACACUGAUCACAUUUACAUUUCACAUCCUGAUAAAUGUCUUCAAUCAGGUGUUCUCCAAACAUAUUACAGUUACCACAGUCCAGUUUAUUGUAUUUUGACUGAGUAAUGACUUAUCUCCAGCUGUUACGUCCAAGACCUGUUGUGCCACGUUUUUACAGUGUACCAGGAGCUGUGGUCUUCUCCGGGUGAGUAUAGCAUCUGAGUGUGGUUGAUCUCCCUAGUUAGUUAGGGAGUGUGCCAGCUGGGCAGAGCAAUCUGUCCUUCCAUCGGUGUACUAUUUGUUAUUUUGCCUUUUUUAUUUUCGAGGCAAUCCUGGGUGGAGACAUGUUUCUCUGGUGGGGGCGAGCAUUUCAGGGCCUUGGUCAUUUGGCUGAGGUUUACUGAAGUUUUGCUUUAAAGAAGCCUCGAGCCCAGCACGUCUCAGAAGAUAGUUAGGUUUAGUUUGGAGUUAGGCAGGUACCAGGGGGCUUGCUUGGAUAAUCAUUUGCACUCGGAGAUUUGCUCACUAGUGAUGUCAUUUAUUUCACUAUUUGGUCUUGUUUAGUCUUUUAGUGUGUUUAGUCUUAUGUAAUUGUUUUUCAUAUGUAUGUGGUUGCAGUGGCAUGUCUUGGCUGGAAAUAAUUUAAUUGUUUAAUGUAAAUGUGUAUGUAUGUAUGUAUUUGUUUAUUUUAGAAUGGGGUCAGCAACUUUUUUCAUGUUCCUAUUAUCUCUUGAGAUGAUGAGAACGACCGGGCCAGUGUGUUAAAUGUUUUGUAAUUAAUAAUUUUGUAAAUGCCUUUAAACAUUUUUUUAAAUAUAUUUAUCAUGUAUUUAUUGACAUUGUGUGUAAAAUCUUAACUCAUGAUGUUCUCAUCUAUUUAGAUGAGAAUGGCAUGUGUAAGAUAUGAUGUAAGCUGCAAUGUAAUAGCUAAGCUCAUGUAAGAAUUACAUUAGCUAAGCUAAACUUACGCAAGUUAUCAAGUAAUUAUGUAAUUUAAGGAUGUAUAUUUAAUGAAUCGUGUUUUUUUUUAUUUUGUAUCAUGUAAUGUAAUUGUAUUUUUUUAUUGUGUUUUUUUAUUUGUUUGGGGUUUUUUUUCUGCUGGGUUGUUGUCACUUCGCUAAUGUUGUGCAGAAGUGUCAGGGAGGGAGCUGAACAUCCAGCUGAGAUGCAGACCAAGCUGCAUGUCAAACCAGGUGCAUAACAAACAUGAUCCAGUGAGAAGGACCCUCUCUCCAGCAAAGACAACAACCCAGAGGAAAAUAAGGGAAGUAAUAUUUAAUUAAAUUCUCAGCUUUCACUUCAGAUGUUUACAUCAGUCUUUUGAACCUGUAACUAAUUUAUGUCUUUUAAAUGUGGCAAAAUGUAUACAGACUACAGGAAGAAGACCUCCAGAGGACUGCAGCAACAAUAAGGGAAGUGAUACUGUUUUCUUUUCAAAUGUUUACGCGAUGACUUUGAACUAAUUCGUGUCUCACUCUCCACUGAAGAGGCAACAACUCUCAGACUCGGGAUGAAGACCUCCAGGAAGAAGGCCUCCUGUGCUUGUUUUUUGGAGAGAAAUAAAUAUCAUCUCU